rnacentral:rRNA from 1 species
AGCGAACGCUGGCGGCAGGCCUAACACAUGCAAGUCGAACGAAGUCUUCGGACUUAGUGGCGGACGGGUGAGUAACACGUGGGAACGUGCCUUUAGGUUCGGAAUAACUCAGGGAGACUUGUGCUAAUACCGAAUGUGCCCUUCGGGGGAAAGAUUUAUCGCCUUUAGAGCGGCCCGCGUCUGAUUAGCUAGUUGGUGAGGUAAAGGCUCACCAAGGCUACGAUCAGUAGCUGGUCUGAGAGGAUGACCAGCCACAUUGGGACUGAGACACGGCCCAAACUCCUACGGGAGGCAGCAGUGGGGAACCUUGCGCAAUGGGCUAAAGCCUGACGCAGCCAUGCCGCGUGGAUGAUGAAGGUCUUAGGAUUGUAAAAUCCUUUCACCGGUGAAGAUAAUGACUGUAGCCGGAGAAGAAGCCCCGGCUAACUACGUGCCAGCAGCCGCCGUAAUAC